rnacentral:rRNA from 1 species
CCCUUAGAUGUUCUGGGCCGCACGCGCGCUACACUGACGAUGGCAACGAGUUUUUCCUUCGCCGAAAGGUGUGGGUAAUCUUUUGAAACAUCGUCGUGCUGGGGAUAGAUCAUUGCAAUUUUUGAUCUUGAACGAGAAAUUCCUAGUAAGCGCGAGUCAUCAGCUCGCGUUGAUUACGUCCCUGCCCUUUGUACACACCGCCCGUCGCUACUACCGAUUGAAUGGUUUAGUGAGGACUCCUGAUUGGCGCCGCCGCCCCGGCAACGGAGCAGCGGACUGCCGAAAAGUUGUUCAAACUUGAUCAUUUAGAGGAAGUAAAAGUCGUAACA